UCAUGGCUCAGGACGAACGCUGGCGGCGUGCUUAACACAUGCAAGUCGAGCGGUAAGGCUCCUUCGGGAGUACACGAGCGGCGAACGGGUGAGUAACACGUGAGCAAUCUGCCCUUCACUUUGGGAUAACUACCGGAAACGGUGGCUAAUACCGAAUACGACAACUCCAGGCAUCUGGUGGUUGUGGAAAGUUCUGGCGGUGAAGGAUGAGCUCGCGGCCUAUCAGCUUGUUGGUGAGGUAAUGGCUCACCAAGGCUUCGACGGGUAGCCGGCCUGAGAGGGUGACCGGCCACACUGGGACUGAGACACGGCCCAGACUCCUACGGGAGGCAGCAGUGGGGAAUAUUGGACAAUGGGCGAAAGCCUGAUCCAGCAACGCCGCGUGAGGGAUGACGGCCUUCGGGUUGUAAACCUCUUUCAGCAGGGACGAAGCGAAAGUGACGGUACCUGCAGAAGAAGCACCGGCCAACUACGUGCCAGCAGCCGCGGUAAUACGUAGGGUGCGAGCGUUGUCCGGAAUUAUUGGGCGUAAAGGGCUCGUAGGCGGUUUGUCACGUCGGGAGUGAAAACCAGGUGCUUAACACCUGGCCUGCUUCCGAUACGGGCAGACUAGAGGUAUGCAGGGGAGAACGGAAUUCCUGGUGUAGCGGUGAAAUGCGCAGAUAUCAGGAGGAACACCGGUGGCGAAGGCGGUUCUCUGGGCAUUACCUGACGCUGAGGAGCGAAAGUGUGGGGAGCGAACAGGAUUAGAUACCCUGGUAGUCCACACCGUAAACGUUGGGCGCUAGGUGUGGGACUCAUUCCA
rnacentral:rRNA from 1 species